AUCCUGGUGCAAAAGACUAUGUCACCAUUUGUUAUGAACCCCUAAAACUACAAAAAACGAAAACAAAAAUAGGCCAAAGAAAAACUUAGGAGGAGUUACAAAUCACUUCUACAAGAAGGACUUGACACAUACUUGCAAUAAAUGUUUAGAGCCAGGCCACAACAAGGGUAGUCGUAAAAGUCCCCCCAUCCAAACAACAAGUUGUUCAAGGAUUCCAAUCAUGAAAAAAUACCUGUUGAAGGUUCCAAGAGUCCGCCAGCAAGCCAAGAUCAUGAUAGUGACUCUCAGUCUACGAAAACAUCAAAAAAGCAAAAAACAAGAAGAUGAGGAGAAACAACUGCUAACAGAGUGACCACAAACACCUGUUAUUGCAGUAAGUAAUUAUAUCUAUAUUAUUCACUUUUCUUUAAAAUACUACAAA